rnacentral:lncRNA from 1 species
GAAGGUCCAAACUCAAUAUUUUUUUCAAAAUCAUUUUCAAAAAUGGUGAACAAAGUCGUUGAGUAUGUAGACUAGUAAUAAGUUAUGGGUUUAUCCAGAGAAAGAAGACAGAAAAAAAUAGAAAAGAAAGAGUGGGAUGACUUGAUAAAAAAAAAAGAACAAAAAAAGCAAAAUAAAAGAUUAGCAUAUAACCUCUUCAGCUGGCGGGGACUGAAUUCAGACUUUGUAAGAACAUAUGAAUAACAGGCAUAACCUCUUCG